GGAAUUCAUUCCAGGUUAUUUUUGGGGAGAUUUUCCCAAAUUUCCCCCCCUUGAGCACCCAUAGGGAGCAACGAAGGGAAGGAAAAACGGAGCCAAAAACGCCAAAAAAAAAGCGCAAAAAAUCGGGAUUUUUUCGGGGAAGGGGAAAAGGAAAAAAAAUUCCUAAAAAAAAAAGCGGGAAAGGGUGGGGGAAUUUGGGAAUUCAGGAGAGCUGGUGGGGAGCCUCGAGCAUCUCCAUGAGGAAGGUGUCGAUGGGGGUGUCCCCGAUGAGUUUGAAGAAGAAAAGAUGCUCCAGGCACUUGAGGCCGAUGGAGCGCAGCGCCGGCAGCCGCAGCAGCAGCUUGGCGAACCUGCGGGAAAAAACAUGGAAUUUCUUGGGAAUUCUGCAUUUUCCGGGGUUUUUUAUCACUUUGCCACUUUUUUCCCAUUUUUCCCCCGAUUUUUCCCUAUUUUUCCCUAUUUUUUUCCCAUUUUUUUCUAUUGUUUCCUCAUUUUUUUCCCAUUUUUCCCUAUUUUUUCCCAUUUUUUUUUAUUUUUUUCCAUUUUUUCCCAUUUUUUUCCAUUUUUUCCCUAUUUUUUUCCCAUUUUUUCCUCAUUUUUUUCCCAUUUUUUUCCCAUUUUUUCCUCAUUUUUUCUCAUUUAUUCCUCAUUUUUUCUCAUUUUUUUCCCCAUUUAUUCCUCAUUUUUUCCCCAUUUUUUCCCCAUUUAUUCCUCAUUUUUUUUCCCAUUUUUUCCCCAUUUUCUCCCUUUUAUUCCCUAUUUUUUUCCCUUUUUUUUUCUAUUUUUUCCCCAUUUUUCCUCAUUUUUUCCCACUUUUUUCUGAUUUUUUCCUCAUUUUUUCCCAUUUUUUUCCCCAUUUUUUCCUCAUUUUUUCCCAUUUUUCCCCACUUUUUUCCCCACUUUUCCCCAUUUUUUUCCCCAUUUAUUCCUUUUUUUUCCCAUUUUUUCCCCAUUUUUUCCCUUUUUUCUCCCUUUUUUCCCCUAUUUUUUUCCCAUUUUUUUUCUAUUUUUCCCCCAUUUUUCCUCAUUUUUCCCACUUUUUUCUGAUUUUUUCCUCAUUUUUUCCUCAUUUUUCCCCCAUUUUUUCCCCAUUUUUUUCCUCAUCUUUCCCCCAUUUUUUCCCCAUUUUUUCCCCAUUUUUUUCCUCAUUUUUCCCCAAAUUUUCCCCAUUUUUUCCCUU
rnacentral:lncRNA from 1 species